UUUGCCGUGCGGUUCACCUGUUGGUUUACCUGUGUGCUAAAUGUGCUGCAAACUGCUGCGGUUCAUGUGGCAUUUCUAAACGGAUUCUGCCUGCAAACAGUGCAAUCGUGUCACCUAAGGGUUCCUUUGUGAAGGAAAUGUUCCUGUUGGGUUCUGGUUCUGAAAUCUGAAUCUGAUUGCCUCAUGGAGCACUUCAAACCGGAAGUGGAGUUUUCUGCUCCUGUGGCUGCAAAUUAGGAUCACAUCACAUUAGACCAUCACAGUGGAUUUACUCCACAGCUUCCCUUCAUGGAGGGGUUGGGUGCAUCGAGACAAACAGAUGCGGGCACUGAUUCUCCAGUCGCGUGCCAAUGAACCACCGCAGAAGAAGACGCAAGUCUCAUGCUUCAUGUACGUCAUUAUUUAUUGGUGUGCAGAUAAGUGAGAGAUUCCUACCUGCACCUGCAGUGACAGCUGGUGCCAGGCGUAGUCAUUGCUCUGAUUCUGCCGGGUGAAAUCAUCGCUGUAACUGUGUGAGUGGACAAUGCUGGGCUGCACCAGACUGCUCUGUGACCGCAGGCCAGACAAGUCUUCACUGCGGGAGAAAGCAUUGUUGCCAAAGGCAGGCUGAUAGUCGUGGUGGCCGUUCUCAGGCUCAGGGGCAAGUAGGAGAGGAGGGGGAUGAGGCUGAGACUGAGCCGGGGAGUUCUGGGCAGCCAGAUGGAAUAGCGGGUUCUGGAAAGACAGGGGGAAGUGCAUGGCCGCUGCUGCCUGCUGCUGUUGUUGAGAUAUGGAUUCAGUGGGCCCCCCUAUGUGGCCCAUCUGGCUCAGCCUCAAACCGGAGCCCGCUGAGCCCGCUGGCAUAUGUCCUCCCAUGCGAAGAGGACCGCAGAGGUUCCCGAAGCUGUGGCCCAGGCCAGCAAUAGAGGCCUGAGAGGAGGUGAGCAUGUCUCCCACAGAGUUCAGGUUGGAAAUGCUGUUCAUACGGGAGUCCUGAAGGUCCAUCAUGGACACACUUUUAUUCACACUAUGGACCUGAGAGACACAACAAAAACAUUUAUUCUAGCUUUAUUCUGGACUGGAUUUAUAUACAAAAACAUUGUUCAGAAAAUACACUCAACUCCAUUUCUGAAUGUACAGUAAAUACGUGUAUUUUUAGUUUUAAAUUGAAUUCAGGCACAUUUAACUGUCAUAUCUAGUUAUAUUUAUGCCUUUAGACAGCUAAAUGCCUUUACAUAGUUAUGCUAGACCAAAGUCUCACUCCUCUGUGUAUUGUUUUGUUCCACUUUAGCUCCCCUUGAUUUUUCUUUAAAAAUCUCUUUUUAUUGCCUUGUUUUUCUUUUAUGUCUUGUUUUAAUGCCUUUUUAUGUCUUAUGUAAAGUACUGCACAAAUAAACUUGCCUUGCUGGAUUCUA